AUUUAGUUGUUUAAAUAUGGUGGUAGAACAUGAGACUGUUUAAUCUCAGGGUUGUGGGUUUGAGCCCCACAUUAGGCA